rnacentral:lncRNA from 1 species
CUCUCUUAACGUUUUUCAGACGACCAGUCUUAGGGCAAGUUGACAAUCUAUCUUCAUGAAGACGACCAGUCUUAAGAGCAAGUUGAUAAUCUUGAUACAUCUUCAAAGAUUUGCUCCAACUGCAGAGACAUCUUCUCGUCCUUCUUGUAGGUCGUCUCCGCAAGGGCCCUGGUAUCAUCUUUGAUAUCUGACAUCUUCUCGUCCUUCUUGUCGGUCGUCUCCAACAGGGCCCUUAUGCGGCUGGUAUCAUCUUUGAUAUCUCCGACUUGGAAUGCCAUCAAAACCAUAAGGCUCGUCUUAAUAUCCGAACUGACCUUGUCUAUUUGCUCGGAGUAUAUGGGGAUUAUCUUCUUAAGCUUGUGGGCGAUCCCUGAUGACUUAUUCAUCCUGUCCACGAGCUGGGUAGCCCGGUCGAUGUCUUCUUUGAGCACCUUGAUGAGUUCGGUAGGUACCCCAUUGACAAAUUCGCCAGGUACCAACGGAGAUUGAGUGUCCAGUCGGGCAGCAAUCAGCUUGAGACACACCAAGUUGGCAUUGAGCUUGCGAACAUUCGGUUCGAGCUCUUUGUAUUUAUCGUAGAGGCGGUUAGUUUGGAAUGCGAGGCCCACGGCCCCUGCGACAACUCCGAAUGCCUCCGUCAUCGAAGGAAAGAGUGAUGCUCCGUUUUGGGUAUUCGAUCUGUUUCUGUUUCUCUUUGAGAGGGAGAGUGGUAGAGCUAGGGUAGGGUUUUGUGGGAUACUGCGUUGGACUUGGACACCAACAUUAGAAUUAUUACAAAAAAAAUAUCGAAAACCCCGUCCACAAAGUUAAUCCAUGAUUUGCCUAAUUCCAAAACUUGUCGCAGCUGUGUCACUGACUUGCCCAUUCCUCUUAGAAGAUCCUGGAGCUCGUGGCGUAGACCAUCGUUUUCUUCUUCAGACGUAGGAGCCCGGCCCCGGAUUGCUUGUGUUUCUAGACGCUGGAUUGCUCCUUUAAGUUUGGCGAUGCAUGCUUUUCCGAGGUAAUAUCCUAGUUCUUCUGCUGCAACGCGAGGUCGUCCUUGAUUACGAUGGCGGAAGUUUUCUUCUAGACGAGGGAUUGCUUCUUCCAGUUCCCGGAUGUCUUCAAGCUCUAGAUAUGGGCGGUCUUCGUGUUCCACAUUCUCUGCGAAUUUUUUUUCUAGACGGCGGAUUACUUCUUCCAGUUCAACUACUAGACGGUGUCGUUCCUGUAAUAUUCGAUUCGACGUCGGCAUUGUUCUUCUUGUCCUUAUAUUUCUGCCCUACACAAGGUUAUUUAUAGGGAUUGUUUUAUGUAAUGCUAUUCCCAACAUGAAAAAUGAAAACAUUCCUUGUGAAGCAAGUGAUAAGAAAUAUAAUCCAACUAGAAUAAGGAAUUACCAUGUUUUUGAGAAGCAAGUAAAAUCCUAUUCCCAGCAUAAAAGAAAACAUUCCUAAUACCACUAUAAUAAGGAAAGUUCUCAAAAACAUAGCACAUAUGAUUCAACACUCAACACUCUUAACUCAUACAACCUUCGGACCGUACCAUAAAAAUUGGUAGAAACUAGAGACGAAUACUCUUUAACACAAAGUAGUGCUAACUAGUAUAAUAAUGGAAGCAGAAAACCAGACUACAUUUUGACAUGAGUGAUCAAUUAGUGUCUUUUAUUUCCUUGAAUAACAAGAAAUGAUACUUAGGGUAUUUGGUUUCAUAGAUCCAACCGCCCAGCAUGCUCUGAAACAAAAUAGGCAGCCCUUCUCUAACUACCUAGCUAGGUAGUUAAAUAACGUAUUAGUGGAUUAAUCUAUGUUGUUAUUAGAACAAAAGCCAAACCAUAAAACAAAAGGCCAAACCUAAUUCUUUGUUCUCAGUACCCUCUCUUUGAAAAGUAUAGGGCUCUAGAGAAAAACGGUUGUUCUUUUAUUCUUCUUUCAACUUUUUUCUCUCAUUCUAGUUCAAGUUAAAUAAUUAGAAUUUUGCUUGUUAAGAUCAUCUCAGCAUUAUGGUGUAUAGCUCUAGAAGUCAUUACUGGUUACUUGGUUAGUAUCUAAGCCAAUCCUAAUUCUAUUCUUCUUUUAAAACAAGAAUUUGAAUCCUAAUCCUAACCAUAACUAGAAAGAAGUCUGAGAUUGCUGUAUUCUGAUGAAAAGUACCACCCGUUCUCUUUCUCCGAGUCUCAGACAUUACCAUCAAAAUGGAGACGGUGCUUUCCUGGUGAUUCAUUUGCAACAUUAUUAUUUUCAAUUUCUGAUAUUUUGAUGAAAGGAGAGAAACUGAGGAAGAGAAGAUAUCGAAGAUGUAAGACAAAUGAAAACGACAAAAGAAUGAAGAUGAAUAAGUUAAAACAAAAAAUGACUAGCAAAAUCAUUUCAAAAUUAGAACAUUUUAUGUAUUCUGUCCUUCUCUACCAGAGACCUGACAUCUCUCAUUUGUCUCAUUAUAGUGUAAUGUAAAUAGUUAAACACUAUCACCUAGCGUUCUGAUUUUUCACACUGGAAACCAAAGAAAAUUAAGUUUCAAUGACAUUGGCAUCCAAUUUCAGCUUCUGUGCAUGUGUGAAUGAGUGCAGAAAAAUCCUCAGAUUUAUAUUUGAUUUGGGAUGCAAGAAACAACACUGAGAUACUUGGUGCUAAUGGUGAAUCCCAUAGAUUUCAAUUCUCAUGCUUAUGCUUAUGUGAUAUGUGGACCAAACGCAUCUCAAAAACCAAUUAGUCUCGAUCCUUGGGUGCAACUAUGUUGCUGUGUAGUAAAUUUUACAUCCCAUUCAUCUCUGUCAACCCCAAAGUGGGAAAGAGAUAUAUAUACACACAUUCCAAAGAACACUAGCUCCCAGUAAAGUUAAUAGCUUAAUUGCAAGUUCAGUUUUCUUCAACUACAAAGCAACUCAGCAGUGCUACAAAAAAAUGGCAAGAUAUCUACAACUCACUAGAUUUUGGUGAAUUUCUUUGAUUAAAGCUCUAAUUGUGGCUAAUGAACCUGAUUACGACAGCUUAAUUACUUGGUAAAAAGAAAGAGAGUGAGGAUGAAAGCCUUGUGAAAACAUGCUGUGUCUGAACAAACACACUCGUAUGUUCUUAAUUUGAAGCUGUAAGGGGACAUGGACAUAAACUUAAGAAACACAAAAGUCAACCUUAAAGCACACAGCAGUCCUAUUUCUUCAGCACAUAUGUGCUAGUGCUACAAGUACAAAAUGCAAAAGUUCAAUGAAAUUAGCUUAAACACAUUAUUCAUAGCUAUCUCGAUGAUAAUGGAAAAGGGUAUGCAAAUGCAACAGCCUUAGAAAACUUGGAGAAACAAAAUAGUAGUAAAAACCAAAGAUCCAGCAUCUCAUAACUUUUGGUGCAAAGUAACAUAAUAGUGAAGGAACAAAACAAUGUUCGGUUUCCACAACAGACAUAGUGAGUCUGUGUGUAUGUUUGAACAGAUGCUUGAGCUAUACCUAUGUCAGCUAGCUGCAUAGAGCUAAUCGCCAACUAGGCAUAACUAUAAAAUUGAAAGCCCUCCAGUUUCUGACAACCUAGUUAGUUAUAUACCGUCUCUGCAGAUCAAUCUAGGCUAAUCAAAAUACACUAAUAUACCAAACUUAAGCCGCCAAACACACUAAUAUAUAAUGUCACCGAGGAUCAAUCAGUGGCUGCAUGCACGGCACCUGAAAUGUUGCUCAACUGUGUCAGGAGUUAUAUGCACACAUGUGCCAUGGAACCACUGCUCACAUAUGUUGCAUUGAAUCCAGUAUUCAGCUAACCCAAAGCACUUCCUACAGGCACCACAUAUAGUUUCCCCAUCAUCCUGUUCCACAAAAAAUGGACAGGUAUUAGUAAUAUGUAAACAAAUUCAAGUUUCAUGCACACACACAAACAAGUUCAAGUUCAUUUAUAUUUAUUAAAUCCCCCAAUACUAGUAACGCUUGUGCACACUCAGAUUUGUUCAAGUUCAUGGAAUGAUUGCUCUGCUUCAUAUUUGUUAUGUGGAUCACUGGAGAAGUUAAGACCUAACCAAUCAUAUUAGACUAAGCUUACCAAAAUGCAAAACUUAUAAUCCCUUCAUGCAAUUGCAGUGCACUGAAACAUACAAUAUUGAUGAAGGCCAAGAGAAAAUAAAUAUUGAUGCAUGUCUUCCACAGAAAAAGUGUCUCAAAACUGACAUUAAUCCUUAAUGUAAUUUUAUAAAAGCUGAAUACAACAUCUCAAAGAUCUCAUCUAAGACUAAUAUAGUGAGAAUAAGUAAAGCGAACUCACACUUAAUAUGGCACAAAUGUGAAAUCUUAGACCAUCUGAAGAGCACCUAGAGAAACAAAUCCAGCACAUACCAGUAUGAUUCUUCAAAAUUAUGAAUGCACCACCAAUCCCCUACCUUCCUUACUCUUCAUCUAAUUGCAACUAUGGCACUAGCACAUACAUAACCUCUAUAUCAACCCAGAAACAGAUAUGCUAGAUGUAAUAAAACAUAUAUGAACCAACCUAAAGGGGUCUCUGACUCCUUGAAAGCAAAUACUAGCACGGACACAGGGUAUCUUCACACAAUAGCCUAGAUAUCUCCAUUGUUGAUGCAUCAAGUCUAGGAAACUUACCUCUUCAGCAACCCUAGAUGUGCUAGUGCCAGCAGUCACUUCCCCUUCAGAUUCUCUGGAAAUUUCAUGUCUUCAAGAUCUUUUUCAGUCUGAUUUCCAUAUGGGUCAGCGAAUCAGGCAACAGACUGGUCAAAUUGGUUAGAAUGUCAUCGAACAGAGUGCCACCAUACUUGCCACCACAGUUGCCAUCAACAACAAUACUGAAACACUUGCCAUCAUCGAGGUUAAACUUAUCAUCGAGCUUAAAAUCCUCUAACCUGAGUGAAUCAUCGAGCAAAUGCUUCUGGAAAUCCUUAUAAAGUUUAUUUUGCUGACGAUGAAUGUCUUGAUACUAUCAUUUAGCUGCUGGACUUGAGAGACGUAUGCCUUGAUACCAUCAGCUAGAUGAUAGUAUCAAGACAUUCAUCCAUCAGCAAAAUAAACUUUAUAAGGAUUUCCAUAAGCAUUUGCUCGAUGAUUCACUCAGGUUAGAGGAUUUUAAGCUCGAUGAUAAGUUUAAAUCUCGAUGAUAACAUGGCAAGUGUUUCAGUAUUGUUGUUGAUGACAACUGUGGUGGCAAGUAUGGUGGUACUCUGUUCGACAACAUUCUAACCAAUUUGAUCGGCUUGUUGCCUGAUUCGCUGACCCAUAUGGAAAUCAGACUGAAAAAGAUCUUGAAGAUUCAUGGAAUUUCCAGAGAAUCUGAUGGGAAGACUGCGCGUGAUCUGACAUCCGGUGGAAAUUGGAUGUGAUGUCCUUCUCCAAAUCCGGCCUCAACAACAUCCCCCGAAAUAGAAGACGACCAGUCUUAGGGCAAGUUGACAAUAUAUCUUCAUGAAGACGACCAGUCUUAGAGCAAGUUGAUAAUCUUGAUACAUCUUUAAAGAUUUGCUCCAACUGCAGAGACAUCUUCUCGUCCUUCUUGUCGGUCGUCUCCAGAAGGGCCCUUAUGUGGGUGGUAUCAUCUUUAAUUUCAGAGGAUUGGAGUGACGUCAAAACUAUAAGGCUUAACUGGAAAUCCGAACUGACCUUGUCCAUUUGCUGGGAAUAUACGGGGAUUAUUUUCUUGAGCUUGUGGGCGAUCCCUGAUGACUUAUUCAUCCUGCCCACGAGCUGGAUAGCCCAGUCGAUGUCUUCUUUGAGCACCUUGAUGAGUUCGGUAGGUACCCCAUUGACAAAUUCUCCAGGUACCAGCGGAGAUUGAGUGUCCAGUCGCCUUGAGACAGCCCACGGCCCCUGCGACAACUCCGAAUGCCUCGGCCAUCGAAGGAGAGAGUGUUGCGCCGUUUUGGGAAUUCGAUCUGUUUCUGUUUCUCUUUGAGAGGGAGAGUGGUAGAGCUAGGGUAAGGUUUUGUGGGAUACUGCGUUGGACUUGGACACCAACAUUAGCAUAGUAGCAGGCCUCUUGUGCUGCUAGCUCAUUUUGUGGUUCUAGCCCAACUUACUAAAUAUCUUCUUUGUCUCUUAUCCUGUU